ACAGCAGUCGCCACGGUAAUACGGAGGGAGCUAGCGUUGUUCGGGAUUACUGGGCGUAAAGCGCGCGUAGGCGGUUACUCAAGUCAGAGGUGAAAGCCCGGGGCUCAACCCCGGAACUGCCUUUGAAACUAGGUGACUAGAAUCUUGGAGAGGUCAGUGGAAUUCCGAGUGUAGAGGUGAAAUUCGUAGAUAUUCGGAAGAACACCAGUGGCGAAGGCGACUGACUGGACAAGUAUUGACGCUGAGGUGCGAAAGCGUAGGGAGCAAACAGGAUUAGAUACCCGGGUAGUCCCUGUCUCUUAUAC
rnacentral:rRNA from 1 species